CUCAUUAGUUUGCUUGCAAAGGUCCUGGAAGGUGAUAGGGGUACAGACUGGGUUGGGUUGGAAAGGUCCUGGAAGGUCACAGAGCAAUGGAAUGGUUGGGUUGGAAGGUCCUGGAAGGUUAUAGAGGUACAGAGGGAAUUGGGUUGGAAAGGUCCUGGAAGGUCACAGAGCAAUGGAAUGGUUGGGUUGGAAAGGUCCUGGAAGGUCACAGAGCAAUGGAAUGGUUGGGUUGGAAAGGUCCUGGGAGGCUAUAGAGGUACGGAGGGGGUUGGGUUGGAAAGGUCCUGGAAGGUUAUAGAGAUAUAGAAUGGAUUGGAAGGGUCCUGGAAGAUCGUAGAAGCAUGGAAUGGUUGGGUUGGAAGGGUCCUGGAAGGUUACAGAGGUACAGGCUGGGUUGGGUUGCGAAGGUCCUGGAAGGUCACACAGCUAUGGAAUAGUGGGGUUGGAAGGUCCUGGAAGGUUAUAGAGGUACAGAGGGAAUUGGGUUGGAAAGGUCCUGGAAGGCAACAGAGCUAUGGAAUGGUUGGGUUGGAAGGUCCUGGAAGGUUAUAGAGGUACAGAGGGGGUUGUGUUGGAAGGGGUCCCUGGAAGGUUAUAUAGAGUGGGUUGGAAGGUCCUGGAAGGCUAUAGAGAUAUAGAAUGGGUUGGAAGGGUCCUGGAAGAUCGUAGAAGCAUGGAAUGGUUGGGUUGGAAGGGUCCUUGAAGGUUACAGAGGUACAGGCUGGGUUGGGUUGGAAAGGUCCUGGAAGGUCACAGAGCAAUGGAAUAGUGGGGUUGGAGAAGGUCCUGGAAGGUUACAGGGCUAUGGAAUGGUUGGGUUGAAAGGUCCUGGAAGGCUAUAGAGGUACGGAGGGAAUUGGGUUGGAAAGGUCCUGGAAGGUUAUAGAGGUACAGAGGGGGUUGGGUUGGAAGGUCCUGGAAGGUUAUAUAGAGUGGGUUGGAAGGUCCUGGAAGGCUAUAGAGAUAUAGAAUGGGUUGGAAGGGUCCUGGAGGAUCGUAGAAGCAUGGAAUGGUUGGGUUGGAAAGGUCCUGGAAGGUUACAGAGGUACAGGCUGGGUUAGGUUGGAAAGGUCCUGGAAGGUAAUAGAGGAAUGGGCUGGAUUGGGUUUGAAAGGUCCUGGAAGGUUACAGAGGUGCAGGUUGGGUUGGGUUGGAAAGGUCCUGGAAGGUUAUAGAGACUACAAGUUGGGUUGGGUUGCGAAGGUCCUGGAAGGUCACAGAGCAAUGGAAUAGUGGGGUUGGAAGGUCCUGGAAGGUUAUAGAGGUACAGAGGGAAUUGGGUUGGAAAGGUCCUGGAAGGUCACAGGGCUAUGGAAUGGUUGGGUUGAAAGGUCCUGGAAGGCUAUAGAGGUACGGAGGGAAUUGGGUUGGAAAGGUCCUGGAAGGUUGUAGAGAUACAGAGGGAGUUGGGUUAGGAAGGUCCUGGAAGGCCACAGAAGUGUGGAAUGGUUGGGUUGGAAAGGUCCUGGAAGGUCACAGAGCUAUGGAAUAGUGGGGUUGGAAGGUCCUGGAAGGUUAUAGAGGUACAGAGGGGGUUGGGUUGGAAAGGUCCUGGAAGGUUAUAGAGAUACAGGUUGGGUUGGGUUGGAAAGGUCCUGGAAGGUUAUAGAGAUACAGGUUGGGUUGGGUUGGAAGGUCCUGGAAGGUUAUAGAAAUAUAGAAUGGGUUGGAAGGGUCUGGAAGAUCGUAGAAGCAUGGAAUGGUUGGGUUGGAAGGGUCCUGGAAGGUUACAGAGGUACAGGCUGGGUUAGGUUGGAAGGUCCUGGAAGGUUAUAGAGGUGCAGGUUGGGUUGGGUUGGAAAGGUCCUGGAAGGUCACAGAGCUAUGGAAUGGUUGGGUUGGAAGGUCCUGGAAGGUUAUAGAGGUACAGAGGGGGUUGGGUUGGAAAGGUCCUGGAAGGUUAUAGAGAUAUAGAAUGGGUUGGAAGGGUCCUGGAAGAUCAUAGAAGCAUGGAAUGGUUGGGUUGGAAGGGUCCUUGAAGGUUACAGAGGUACAGCUGGGUUGGGUUGGAAGGUCCUGGAAGGUUACAGAGGUACAGGCUGGGUUGGGUUGGAAAGGUCCUGGAAGGUUAUAUAGAGUAGGUUGGAAGGUCCUGGAAGGUUAUAGAGAUAUAGAAUGGAUUGGAAGGAUCCUGGAAGAUCGUAGAAGCAUGGAAUGGUUGGGUUUGGAAGGGUCCUGGAAGGUUACAGAGGUACAGGCUGGGUUGGGUUGGAAAGGUCCUGGAAGGUCACAGAGCAAUGGAAUAGUGGGGUUGGAAGGUCCUGGAAGGUUAUAGAGUUACAGAGGGG